rnacentral:lncRNA from 1 species
GCCUUCCUUGGCGCGUGGGGGCGCGUGCUAGAGUAAAAUUUUAUUUUAAAAUAUGUCGACGUCCGUGACGUCGAGUAGAUCACCGUGGUAUAUUCAUAUACCCAAUUUGAGCACCGUAUGAGAAAGUUAUUAAGGAUUGUUGGUUAGGUGUUCAAAUAACGUUUUAUAGUUUUUGCAUUUAGGUGAAAAAAAUGAAUUGACGAUCCGACCGUUGG